AAAUUUUAAUCUCCUGAGACUUGUGAUGUCUUCAAAGAAACCACCAA
rnacentral:snoRNA from 2 species